GUGAGACAAUGUUUAUGGUCGAUCUUAAAUGAAACAUGGACUUAAAUAAUAGAAACUGUACGCGAAAGGCUGGCAUCAAAGUUGACUUGUGUUUAAUUGCGGAGCAUACAUCUGACUCACAAGAUGCAUGUGUUUGGAGUUUCGUUUAGCUUCACAGUAAAAGCCUACUACGGAGCCCGGAAGGGGACAUAGACGUAUUUUUGUACAACUCGCACGCGCAUUAUACUAAAGCGCGCGCGCGUUUUAUUUAAAAAAAAUCGUCCAUGUCCCCUCCCGGACUCCAUAGCCUACAUUAGGGCUCAGGCAUUGCUUCUCUGUGUGCAUAGGAGCAAUAGAAAGCAUCCUGAAUGGAAACACUACAAACUGGCCUGGGAUGUGCCCGGCCCAGGACAGGAGGGCUCUGCAGCGGGUGAUCAAAACCGCCCAGAGCAGCGUUGGUACCCGUCUACCAAGCAUCAGUGAUAUUGGAGAGGAGAGGUGCCUGCACAGGGCCCAGAGGACACUAAGAGACAGCACCCACCCCAGCCACAGCCUGCUCACCCUGCUGCCGUCUGGCAAGCCAUACAGAGAUUAUCGAAUCAUGGAUCACCCAAUGUGUGGCUUUGGCUCCAUUUGUGUGUGGAGUUUUGAGACUCCCUACGUCCUCCGUGAAUAGAUUCUCUCCAUACACUUCGUGCACGUCAUGUCAAUUUCAAAAUUGCAUACUUUUAUAGUCUGUUUUAAGGAAUGAAAGAAAUGAUAUUUUGAACCUUUUUGAUGUAUUUUAAUUGAAAAUGUGUGUCACACAAAUACAAACACAGUACAUCAGUCUUCAGAGUCUCCUGCAACCUUGUAUUCAUAUCAACAGACUACACCGCGGUCCAAACCAAGGACUGAAAAAUUCUGCUGUAAGCCAGAACACAACCUGCUUUAUCUGUUUCUUCAUAGAUUACACGUCUGUACUGUACCAUACUCCGCUUUCAACUGUGCGACAGUUAAUAACGGUGUUAAUAACACAAAAUGUAAAACUAAGUUGGCAUUAAAGUUGCUACGUAAACACUAAAGGAUUGUUCAAGAUUGCAUUUUUACAGCUGUAAUGAUUUCCUUAAAAGGGGAGCUCCACUGAUUUUACACAUCCAAGUGUGUUUUCAAGUGUUGGGGAGUGCUACUGCGUAUGGAAUGUCUUGCAUAAAGCCUUUUGUGGCUUUAGAGGGAGCUGUUUGAAAACCGAUAAAUUGCCUCAAGUGAUGUCACUUAAGUCAGCGUCGAGAUGGAGCUUUAGUUUGAAAAUAAAACAAAUCUGGGGGUGUGUUGUUAGAAAGAAGUGUUUACCAGACCUCUGUAGCCCGCUCCUCAUCUCUGCUUGAAGCUAGAGCCUCAAGGAUACAUUGACCGCUACUAGCAUAACACACCAGCAUCUAUGACGGAACUGUCGGUGGUUGAGUUUGAUUGUGGGUAAUGUAGGCACCAGUUUUGAUAAGGAAGAAUGUGUGGAAUGAAAAAGAUGCUAUCUCUGGUACUGCUGUAUUGUUUUUAGCAUUUCUUUUCUAAAUUCUUUUUUUGCUAAAUCAGUGAAGUAUUCUUUUAACUUCAUUGUAGCCACAGCAUUGAGACAAAUGUUUCCCAUAAAGUCUUUAUUUGUGGUGGCAACAUCAUGCAAAAGCUCUGGUAAGAAUUUAAAAGGAAACUUGGAAUGAUCUGCAUAAACACUAAAAUAGAAGCAGAUAUGUCUUUAGGAUUCAGUGUAACAGCGUCCGUACGAUUGUGCUCAUCUCUGACAGGGAGAUUUAAUUCUGCUGUUAAAAUUAUGCACAACAGGUGAAAAAUUCUACGGACUGUUUAUUGGAAACCAGGAAGAAGAUAAAAAAUAAAUAUAUCUGCACCUAAAAGAAAAAUUAAAAACUUCCGUUUCUGUUGUGAUAAUUCACAUACAGCAUAUUACCAGUGAAUUCACUCAUCUCUAACAUUUAAAAAGGAGCCAUCUGAAAUAAAUGGGCUGAGCAAUGAUGUAUACUUAUACAAGCGAUACUGUCCUCAUUGGGUAAUGAAUGGGGUAUUCAAAUGAAGAAAGCCAUUUAAAGUGAUGAGAGUUCAAUGGCGUCCUCUCAACCCUUUGCUUUCAUUCUGUGUUGUUUCCUAUUAAGCAUUCUGCUCAAUACAGAGAAGUAAAAUGACACACAGAAGCAACUUAUACCGGUCACUUUUGAAGGCAUUUGAACACAAAUAUAACUCAUGAGUUUCUUUUUUUUUCAAAA